rnacentral:lncRNA from 1 species
AGGGUUUAGGUUUUUGGGUGGGGGGGUAGGUUUUUGGGUGGUGGUGGGGUAGGGUGGGGGUGGGUGUUUAGGUUUUUGGUGGUGAUGUAGUGGGUUUAGUUUUAGGUUAUUGAACACUUGUCACUCUAUAAAUUCUUCUUACACUUCAAACAAUUAGAAGCCUUUUGUAGAAUAAUUUGACCCAUAAACAGCUAGCCCCUUCUCCUUUCUUCAAAACAUAACCCUUAAUCCAAAUCCACGUGAAAGACACACACAGAGGGGAGAAGAGAUGGGAGACAGACGGAGAAGUCUCGGUUUCGACACGGUGGCCGCGCCGAUCAUGGCUCUCCGGUGUCGACAUCACAGCCGGGUCCGCCGUACAUGGUGGUGGGGUUAUGUCGGUUCUCCGGCGUCGGCGGUGGUUCCAGGGUUUCCGGUCACCGCAACGGCGGCCAGCAGCUGUAAGUGGUUGCUAGGUUGUCGGUUGCUGUUUCUGUCGACAUCAGCAGAACUCGAUGACUUCAAGAAGCUCCGGCGAAACACCUAGGGUUCAGGUCCUAUUCCGGCGAAGUUCCAUCAAGAAGGAUUAAACCCCUCUACUUUCCGAUUAUACAACCCGAACCAGCCACCUUUUUCUCUACGUUGCUUCUUCCGCUUUUGAAAGCAUAAUGACCGCCAUCUACCCUUUUUGGGAGUCGCUGGAGGUAACAUCGCUCAAGUCAACAAACUCAGGUCGCCAAUUGGCUUCUUUCCGAUUUAACCACCACCCUCAUCAGAUGAACUGAUCAAGGCUUGCAUGUCUCAGAUCUGUGUAGAUCGGUAGCCACCCUCGACAACUUAGAACUACGCAUCAAAGAAAUUAAAGGACUUCCAUGCUGCCUAAUCCAAGGAAAACGGCUUCGCGCGAUUCUUUAUCCGGAGAAGACCCAACACCUUGACUUCAUCAAUAACACAAGCGUGAAUCCCCUUCUUUUUAUUGAAGAUAGCAUUUUUCCUGGCUCUCCAAAUAGCCCAGCAAGUAAUUAUCAUACCUAAAUGCACCAAUAUGUAUAGUUCAGUUUUACUUUGUAUUUUUAUAGAACCCAUCUGUAUAGUUCGGUUUUACUUUGUAAAUUAAACAUUGCUAUGGUUGUGAGAAAUAAAACUGACUCUCUUGCGCAACGCGCGUUGGCAAUAAUCCUAUUUAACUAUAAAAAUGUAAGGAGUUAAUUACGUUUUUCGUUCAUGUGGUUUGUCAAAAAUAACUAUUUCAGUCUAUGUAGUCAUUUCAAGUAAACUAACAAAAUAACUGGAUGGUGCUAGUAAAGAUGGACUGUAAUAGUUACGAAAGUGAAACCAUAGGUACUGUUUUGCCAAUUUUUAAACUAAGGAAUUGAAAUAAUGAUUUUUAAGGGGAGUGGGGUGGUCACUAGUGAUAGAAUUCCAUCACUCACAAGCAUCCAAUCAACUCCUGCCAUGUCAUCAGCCACUAUUCUAUCACUCACAAGCAUUUUUGUAAUGGCGGUGGUCACCAGUGAUAGAAUUCUAUCACUCACAAUUUUUUUUAAUUUUUAUUUUAAAAUUAGAAAUUAACAAUAAAACACUAAAAUUAUAAAUUGCAUUAAAAUUAAAACAUACUAGUUCAAUUUAACAUACUAGAAAUAUUUUAGGCUACAAUUU